rnacentral:rRNA from 1 species
UACGUAGGGUGCGAGCGUUGUCCGGAAUCAUUGGGCGUAAAGCGCGUGUAGGCGGUCCGGUAAGUCCGCUGUGAAAGUCGGGGGCUCAACUCCGGAGGGUCGGUGGAUACUGCCAGUCUUGAAGGUGCUAGGGGGAGAUGGAAUUACCGGUGUAGCGGUGAAAUGCGUAGAUAUCGGUAGGAACACCAGUGGCGAAGGCGGUCUCCUGGGGCAUUCUUGACGCUGAGGCGCGAAAGCUGGGGGAGCAAACGGG